GACAGAGGGUGCAAACGUUGUUCGGAAUUACUGGGCGUAAAGCGAGUGUAGGCGGUCCUCUAAGUCGGGUGUGAAAGCCCCGGGCUCAACCCGGGAAGUGCACUCGAAACUGGAGGGCUAGAGUAUCGGAGAGGUUGGUGGAAUUCUCGGUGUAGAGGUGAAAUUCGUAGAUAUCGGGAGGAACACCAGUGGCGAAGGCGACUACCUGGCCUGUUCUUGACGCUGAGGCGCGAAAGCUAGGGGAGCAAACGGG
rnacentral:rRNA from 1 species